GAUUAGAUACCCUGGUAGUCCACACCGUAAACGAUGAAUGCCAGUCGUCGGGCAGUAUACUGUUCGGUGACACACCUAACGGAUUAAGCAUUCCGCCUGGGGAGUACGGUCGCAAGACUAAAACUCAAAGGAAUUGACGGGGGCCCGCACAAGCGGCGGAGCAUGUGGAUUAAUUCGAUGCAACGCGAAGAACCUUACCUGGGCUUGACAUACACCAGAUCGCUGCAGAGAUGUAGUUUCCCUUUGUGGCUGGUGUACAGGUGGUGCAUGGUUGUCGUCAGCUCGUGUCGUGAGAUGUUCGGUUAAGUCCGGAAACGAGCGCAACCCACAUCUUCAGUUGCCAUCAGUUCGGCUGGGCACUCUGGAGAAACUGCC
rnacentral:rRNA from 1 species